UAAUCAAUAGCCCAACCCAGCUGUGAUACCUAUGAACCCCAACAAUGACCAGUGCAAUAGAGGAGAAUUUUCAUAAUUCUCUCCCUGUGGCCCUGAAAGAUGAAUCCACUUGAUCAUAAGGAGAUACGAUCUAUCUAAGCUCGGGAGGAAAGUGUGCCCUGUUGCUGAGGGUGGAAUAUCGCAGCGUGCCCGCUCGGACCACGUGGAUUACCGCAUUGUUUAAGUCAGCUGUUUCCGUAUUGGCUCUUGGCACGCAUGCGUUGUUUGUUAUGGGCUAUGGAGUACUGAGGUCUUCCCUAGCCUUGCGGUGCUGCGACUCCCUAGGUCUCUCCAUAUUUGCUCCCCAUGAGUUUAUGUUUAUGUAAAUACCUCUUAGGGCUUCUGGAUUUAUAGGCCCUUUGAGUAGCAGCAGCAGAAGCGUGUCUCCUGUGACAGUUUGGACAUAAAACCUCUUUUGUGACCGGCGACCUGUUUCUCUUGAGCUCCUGUUUGCACGGAGCAUCCUUUCCGCCCUCUGGCUUUGUGCACAUACAUGUACUUACACGGAAAUUAGUUACUUUAAAGGAUGCAUAACUGGGUAUUUUAUUAAAGUAUCCACUUAACUAUUCUA